rnacentral:rRNA from 1 species
UGGGGAAUUUUGGACAAUUGGGCGAAAGCCUGAUCCAGCAAUGCCGCGUGUGUGAAGAAGGCCUUCGGGUUGUAAAGCACUUUUGUCCGGAAAGAAAUCCUUGGCUCUAAUACAGUCGGGGGAUGACGGUACCGGAAGAAUAAGCACCGGCUAACUACGUGCCAGCAGCCGCGGUAAUACGUAGGGUGCAAGCGUUAAUCGGAAUUACUGGGCGUAAAGCGUGCGCAGGCGGUUUGCUAAGACCGAUGUGAAAUCCCCGGGCUCAACCUGGGAACUGCAUUGGUGACUGGCAGGCUAGAGUAUGGCAGAGGGGGGUAGAAUUCCACGUGUAGCAGUGAAAUGCGUAGAGAUGUGGAGGAAUACCGAUGGCGAAGGCAGCCCCCUGGCAAGUACUGACGCUCAUGCACGAAAGCGUGGGGAGCAAACNGGAUUAAUACCCUGGUAGUCCACGCCCUAAAANGAUGUCAACUAGUUGUUGGGGGAUUCAUUUUCCUUAGUAACGUAGCUAACGCGUGAAGUUGACCGCCUGGGGAGUACGGUCGCAAGAUUAAAACUCAAAUAAUUGACGGGGUCAUGCUG